rnacentral:pre_miRNA from 1 species
UACGUACUCCCUCCGUCCGGAAAUACUUGUCAUCAAAAUGAAUAAAAGGGGAUGUAUCUAGAUGUAUAUUAGUUCUAGAUACAUCCUUUUUUAUCCAUUUUUAUGACAAGUAUUUUCGGACGGAGGGAGUAAUUU